rnacentral:lncRNA from 10 species
CUUUAUAUCUCCAGCAGCAAUAUAAAGCCGAGGACCCAGCAAGUGUUCGCCUCUGGAGAAUUUGAUGAAUUCUAUGCAUCUGAAAGGCCUCCGAUGCUUAAGACCUUUUUUUUCUUUUCAAGUCUCGAACAUUUAUUGAACACGUAUAUGUGCCAAGCGCUAUUCUCAAACUGCCCCAUGAGGAAUGGACCACAGAGCUCCAUUUUACAGAUGGGGAAACUGAGAUGGGAGGAUGAGCCUGAGACCACACAGGAAGCAAAGCCUACAGCUUCCAAGAUGAAGCAUGGAAUUCCAGACUGAGGGGCUUUACAAGUUCAU